CACUUAAAUUGAUAUUUUCCAUUCUAAUUAAGCGAAGCUUAGGUGCCCUUUACUUAUGAAGCAACUUGGACAGCAAAUCACUUUGGGGUUGAGCUACUGGAAGUAACAAAAACGUUCUACUACAUUUCUCUUGCAAGACAUAACAUCAAAUCUCCUUCUUCAACAACUUAGUAGCAAAAUUUUCCUCUCAAAAACCAAGAAGAAACAACGUGUAUUUCAGCCCCUAAUAUCAACAUCUUGGGAAGCCCGAGGCAAGGGGCACUGUGUUUAUGCCACACAGCCCUAGAUUACUUUGCAGGAAAUAUUAUACAGGAGACUGACUGUAGGGUAUUCCCAGGUUAUCAACUGGAUUGGAAAACUCCAUUUCAUUCUGAGUAUGGCCGAGUCAGAGUAUUUCUUUAUGAUUUAAGUCAGAUGCAUUAUGGGUAUGUUGGGACCCUGUCCCAACUUAUGUUUUAAUAACAUGUUCUAGGUUAGAGAUUUUUGGAGACAGAGUUAUGUACAUAGUAUGUCAUUCUUGUAAGUGCCUAUGUAAGCCGAUAUAUCAUUUUGCACUUUACGGAUUUAAUAUGAUUACAGAUUUUACUUGAUUUAAGAAAGAUGAAAAGAA